AGCACAAACAGCUACACCAAACAAUCCAAGUGCUGCAUAAACGCAACACUGCUCAAAUGACUCGCUUAAAGCGGCAGGUGAAGGAGCUACAGACAAGGAACCGCCAAAAGCAAACCCAGCUGACACAGUUACAAGCUAAUAUGGUGCAGGCCGAGAAACAGCUGAGGCAGUAGAAGUUGAACUAUAUAUUCUGCUUCGCCGAUCUCGCAAAGAAUUUUAUAGUGUUGCCGAGAAAUAUUUUGCGUUUAGUGCGAGGCCACUUGUCUCGUGUUAACAUGUUAAAGAGACCAGAGAUUUUAUUCUCGAGUUUAUUAUAAUUAGCAUAACUGAUUGUUGAAACACCACACUUGUGUUAUUAACGUUCAUUAUAUGGACAACAAUGAUUCUGUGGUAAAUUCAACUGAUGCAAUAUGUA